CAACUAAACCACCCUAAGCCCCUGGUGCCCGGGGAAUAAAACCAUUUUUUUCCAGUUUUUCCCAAAGGCAAGUGCCUGAUGCACAGUGAGACCAAAGGGGCUGGGAGCAGAGAAAGGUUUAGAUUUACUGCAGGCCAAGCAAGGAGAAUGGGCACCUCAUGUUCCAAGAACCCCAAACUCCCUGGUGGGGUUCAGGGAAGAGUCUCUAAGGGCAAGAUUUGGGGUGAGGACACAGGGUGUGUGACUUUCCACUGAUUUGCGGGCAGUGAGGUGACAGCAAUCUUGGGUUCAGCCUGAAGUUACCAUCCUCCCCCUGCGCGGGAGCCUUAGUUCCUGCAGAAGAACUCAGAGAUGUAUCAGAUGGUUAUGAAUGUAUCUCUUCAAGGAAAACCACAAUCCUGCCCUUCCUCUGCACUGUUAUUUCUUCACUGCUUUUCCUUUCUUUUCCCUAAUGAGUAACUUUGAAUCUGCCCUCUGAAAAUCAGGAAAGAUCUAGGAAGCUGAAGCUUUUUCCUACAAACAAGAAACAGGACACGAAAGGUUUCUGUACCCCACAGGUCCUGCUUAGUUUCACAACUGAGAGUGAUAAAUGCAUCUACUUUAAAGUCCUUUAUAAUUGGUCCUAACAAAACAUUUCAUGUAUUUACAUGUUGCAGUGGCUUGAGUUUUUCAGGAAGAUGGCAAGACCCAAGCUGUGGUUAAAUCAAAAUGUGGGAACACCACCUAAGAAAUGACACUUCAUUUUUAUGGCAGAGACAGUUACCUCCGUAAGGUCCACCAUCACAUCUUUCCAUAUAUAAACAUUACCUUUCCAGGGUUUCCUUAGCAACUUUAAAUUUACAAACAAAGCAUAAAAAGGGACAGAAAGACCCAGAUCUGUUGGUCAAAAAAAGUCUUCCUUGGAAACUCUGUACACAUUUGUCUAUAUACCAGGCUCAAUUGCAUCAUUAUUCAGAGAAUACGAGUGUGGACAAAAGUAAACAUUUCAGUAAACAAAAUGUUGCCUGCCCUCAAGCCAGCAGCCAUUGCAGUCACCCCUGCACCCUGAGAGGAAUUCAGGAUGGAAAAAAAACCGGGAUACUGGCCCUAGAUGGUUAACAUGCAUAUCAAAGCAGUAAUUGCAAUGAGCCAAGACUCCUGUAAACCCCCACACAUAGAAAACCACUAAAAUCUUUUAACUUGAAAUAUCUAUUUUUGUGUGUGAUUAGCAAUCAUCUUUUGAUAUCUGACUACAUUUUUUGGGGGUCUUUUUCAGCAAAAACUCCUGUGUAUCCUGUCUCCUCCCUUACCUCUUUGGAACAGCCCCUCAGGGUUAUCUGAAAGGCUGUUUCCCCAGGCUAUAGUCCUCAGUUAAAGUCUCUAAAUAUAAAUCUCUCUCUCAACUUUUAGGCUCUUUUGGGCUUUUGUUUGUUUGUUUUUGUUUUUUUCCCCAGUUGAAGUAUGAAGCCAAGAAUUGCAAGGGGGAAGCAAGAGAAUCACGAUUGCCCAUGAGUUCUGCCAUGGAUGCACAAAGUAAAUGAUUUUGGUGGAGUCAUGGAUUUUUCUCUUACACAAAUGAAACUGAUUUAACUUCUUGUAGUGACUAAUGGGCACGUCUUCCACAAACACCUGGUUUACCUUACUGCUUUCAUUUCCGUAAUUCAUUUUACUUUCAAGGUUUUGUUGUUUUUUUUUUUAAAUACCCGUAAAGACUAUUUACUAACAACUGUUUAGUUUCAGUUGCUCAACCAGUUUUGCUGCCUUGAAAAGUAUCCUGGAGCAGGGUCUAAUCAAUUCAAAAUGGCAGCCCAAGUAAUGAUUUUGUCCGCUUCUAUGCCUUCCAGCUUAAGAUGGCACUUCUGUUCAUGGCAUUUCUGUGUGGUACACAGAAGUAAUAAACAGCCGAACAAGACUUCUAUUGUGCCAUGACAAACUUGGACUUUUGUUUCCUAAUCCCAGGAUGAAUUCUACAAUGAAAAAAGAAUCAGCCAACUCUCCCUGUCAGAACAAAAACAGAGGGUGAAAAAUGCAACUUUAGUUGACAGCAAUCCUGCUGCCCACCAUACCUCGGAAAUCAAUCCCAUGCCAGUUUAUAGAUCAUCUCCUGAAAGGUGAAACUCCACAGAACAGGUUAUGGCCCCUCCUAAGUUGAGAUGUUAUGAUCAACAAUUAUAGUGUAACAAUUUCAUUUGUAAAAUCAUCUGAAAUGAUAUACUAUCUACUAUAGCAUUUCUGCUAAAACUCUCAAGAAAAUAUAGCAACUAACACCAAGGUAUGAAUUUCGCUCAAACUGCAGCCUGGAUAAAGCACAGACACGGUCAGAAAUGCGAGCACUGUUUCCCAGUAGCAUCGCCUCUGUCAGCUGCUUCUAUGCUGAGAUGUGCCACGCGGGGUCGUUCCUAACCUACAAAGCCAGAGCGUGGCGACCCAAGAUAACGCAGCAGCUCCGCAAGUGGAGAGAGCAGACAGACUAAGCAGUGUGUGUGGGCCCUGAGGCCUGUCCUGCAGGUGGCUGACAGCCCACCUCAAGGCCCGGAAAGACUUCUAAAAGAAAGCGUUGCCAUUUCUAACUACAUAGCUGCAUUUUCUUGUUUCCUUUUUUGAACAAACUUCCUUGACUUCCAGUGAUGCCUUAUGAAUUAAGUAAUGUAAUACGAAAGAUGACAUUGACUUUCCUAAGCCUCUCAAAGUGAUUCUGGAGAAACUCAGGUAUUUCAAAACUCUUUACUACAAUUGAAGAAAUACAGUAUCAGAUUAAAAAACAUCAUAAGGAAUGCAGAGUCUCCAUUAUACUAUAGUGCAGACAUGUAUGUUUAUAAACGCUUGAAAGACAACUAUCUAGAUAUACCUUUAAUAAACUCAGUAUACAUGUCUUUUCCCUUACCUUUUUAUCAGGCUUUCUAUAAGAGCUUCAUGCUAAAUAUUCAAGUGUCUUAAAUCAUAAAAGGUCUAUCAACUACCAUUAAUUUCACUUUUAAAACAUGCUCAAAUUGCAUGUAAAACUAAUGAGUUAAGUUCCAUUGUUUGUGUCAAUGUCAGUUUGCUAGUUUUGAUGUACUAGUGAUACAAAAUCCACUGGAAGAUUGGGCCAAGAGCCCAUGGGACUUUUUUUUUUUUUUUUGGCAGCAUGCCAAAAAUGAAUCUAUAAUUAUUUCAAAAUAAUUUGAAAAAGUCAUUUUAAAAGUGCUCUAUGCUUUGCAGUUUUUCAAUUUGUAUCAUGGAAUCUCAGCCUUGUUCUCUAAUUUGACAGAUUGGGGGUGGCAGUGGAGGAGGACUGACUGAUUUACUUGUUUAUCUGCCUUCUAAACUAAUUCUUUUCUCAGCCUCACAGACCUUGAAUCUUGUUUCACAUGUAUGAAAAGAGACAAUAUUUUAGAUAAAUAUUACAACAUAGUAUAAUACUGAUAGGAAAAUCACAGAACUUGUUAAAAACCUAUUUUUUAAAGUCUUUAUUGAAUUUGUUACAAAUUCAAUUUGUUAUAUAAACUGCUUCUGGUUUUUUGUUUUUUUUUUUUAAUGUUUUGGGUU